UGGGGAAUUUUGGACAAUGGGCGAAAGCCUGAUCCAGCAAUGCCGCGUGUGUGAAGAAGGCCUUCGGGUUGUAAAGCACUUUUGUCCGGAAAGAAAUCCUUGGCUCUAAUACAGUCGGGGGAUGACGGUACCGGAAGAAUAAGCACCGGCUAACUACGUGCCAGCAGCCGCGGUAAUACGUAGGGUGCAAGCGUUAAUCGGAAUUACUGGGCGUAAAGCGUGCGCAGGCGGUUUGCUAAGACCGAUGUGAAAUCCCCGGGCUCAACCUGGGAACUGCAUUGGUGACUGGCAGGCUAGAGUAUGGCAGAGGGGGGUAGAAUUCCACGUGUAGCAGUGAAAUGCGUAGAGAUGUGGAGGAAUACCGAUGGCGAAGGCAGCCCCCUGGGCCAAUACUGACGCUCAUGCACGAAAGCGUGGGGAGCAAACAGGAUUAGAUACCCUGGUAGUCCACGCCCUAAAACGAUGUCAACUAGUUGUUGGGGGAUUCAUUUCCUUAGUAACGUAGCUAACGCGUGAAGUUGACCGCCUGGGGAGUACGGUCGCAAGAUUAAAAACUUCAAAUGGAAUUGACGGGGUCAUAGCUG
rnacentral:rRNA from 1 species